GUGGGGAAUUUUGGACAAUGGGCGCAAGCCUGAUCCAGCAAUGCCGCGUGUGUGAAGAAGGCCUUAGGGUUGUAAAGCUCUUUCAGUAGGGAAGAUAAUGACGGUACCUACAGAAGAAGCCCCGGCUAACUUCGUGCCAGCAGCCGCGGUAAUACGAAGGGGGCUAGCGUUGUUCGGAUUUACUGGGCGUAAAGCGCACGUAGGCGGAUUGGUCAGUUAGAGGUGAAAUCCUGGAGCUCAACUCCAGAACUGCCUUUAAUACUGCCAGUCUAGAGUCCAGAAGAGGUGAGUGGAACUCCUAGUGUAGAGGUGGAAUUCGUAGAUAUUAGGAAGAACACCAGUGGCGAAGGCGGCUCACUGGUCUGGUACUGACGCUGAGGUGCGAAAGCGUGGGGAGCAAACAGGAUUAGAAACCCCGGUAGUCC
rnacentral:rRNA from 1 species